UACGGAGGGGGCUAGCGUUGUUCGGAAUUACUGGGCGUAAAGCGCGCGUAGGCGGCUGUGCAAGUUAGAGGUGAAAGCCCGGGGCUCAACUCCGGAAUUGCCUUUAAAACUGCAUCGCUAGAAUUGUGGAGAGGUAAGUGGAAUUCCGAGUGUAGAGGUGAAAUUCGUAGAUAUUCGGAAGAACACCAGUGGCGAAGGCGACUUACUGGACACAUAUUGACGCUGAGGUGCGAAAGCGUGGGGAGCAAACAGG
rnacentral:rRNA from 1 species